AAAAAUUCUCCUCGUUCCCUAAAAGUCUAGGGUUUCUCAAGAAUCGCUAAACCUAGAUCCCAAUCCUUCAAAAUCUCUAUUUAACCUCUCUAGGAUUUCGAUUUUCGAGGAUUCGCUUCAAAAUUUAGUAAUUUUUAGUGGAUUUUGCUUGUCUCGUAUCCUUCAAUUGUUGUUCGGUUCUGAAAAUAAUUUGGAAUUUUAGGCAUUUUCAGAUUAUUUGGUUUUGUUUGAGUGCAAUUUCCUCUAGUUACGGUUUCAGUUUGAAGGGUUAAGUGCAAUUUCGAAUUUUUUUAUAAAAUUUAAAUUAAAAUUCCUUAGACGAUUGGGCGUUUAAUAAUUAAUUGAUGGCUAGCGAUACUACAACGGCGGCCGCAGCUGCGGAAGAAGCAGAGGCGAUGGAGGAGUAUGAUAGCAAUCCAAAUGAAGUGAAACGCUCUCUUGUGAUGCGCAGAAGGGAUGCCAGCGAUGAGGAGGAGGCGGAGGAUUAGAGAGAUUCAGAGCUUCCAAUCGCUCAAAGUGUCUACAUUCCUGCGGGAGAAGCGGAGGCUGUGGAUGAGUAUGAGAGCGAUCCAGAUGAAGUGACACACUCUCUCGUUCUGCGCAGAAGGGAAACAAGCGAUGAUGAGGAGGUUUUUGUUUGGCAUAGUUAAGUGGUUAGUUUGAAGAUGGCUACUGAUUAUGCAGCUAGGUACGCAUUAGUGUUUGUGGAUUUCUAAAUGCUUUCUGUCAGAUGUGACUCGAUUAUUACUAGAAGUAUAUGGAUCUUACACUUAAUUAAUUAUAUAUCCAUUUAUAAUGUUCAAAAUGAUAAUGUACUAUUGCUUGAAAUUAUGCUUUCAAGACAUCAUUUUGAAAAUCCAUGGUUGUAAUGUGUCUCUAAAUUCAGUAAUACAAGUUCUGUCAAUUAGUGUUGGAUGCAGUGACCUGAAUAGUUUAAUAUUCAUUUGCAGAACAAAUUUCCGUGCGUUCUGCUGGAAAUUUAAUUAGCUUCAUUUGAGCAUUAAUUAGACUUCUCUUGCAUUGAAUGAAUGGAUGAGUGCUAAUCCAUGCAUGCACAAUGAAUGCUAAAUCUAAGGUAUGGUAAAAUGUCAGCAAGCUUGGCCCAAAUUAUCAAGCUGGUUUGGUGGCUACUAGAUUUGUUCAUCCGGAUUUUGGACCAUUUUCCUUGACAAUGAGAAAAGCUCCAAGAAAUUGAAGACUCACUGAAAGCUCCAAGUUUCAGGUAACUCUUGUGUUGUGUGCUCGGAGUAUUCUCUAUUGUAUUUUUUUGUUUGUUAUUUAUUCGACGUAUUGCUAGCAGAGAUCUUGGGUGGGAACCAAAAAUUCCCAACAAUUGUCAAUUGUUUUAAACUCUAUUCUGAACAGAGCAUGAAGGGAUUCACUUAUCUAAUUAUGUCUUUUAUGCUUUAACUUCACUUGAUUACAUCUUUUCCAUCACCUUUAUUAAAGUUGUAUAUGUUGGAGUAUUAGGUUCAUCAUAAGGAUCAUAUUAUGGCUAAGGAAGGAGCACAGUUUAUCAGCUGCACUGAAGUGUAGCAUAGAAUUUGGAUUCAAAACUGAUGCAAGGCUGUUGCUGUGUAAUUGCAUGCCAUGCUUGCUAGUGCGCUCUAACAGAUUGCUGAGCUGGCACCGGAUGUUUUUAACUAAUAUUAGUAAUUAGUCUAGAGUGUUCGAUUUAUUCUAUAAAUGGCUCAUUUGAGCUUACAACCUUUAAAGUUGUAUCACACGAUUCUGUUACUUCUAAUACGGAUUUUCUCUAUUCCUUUUUCUAUCACUUUCUCUUCCAUUUCAUGAUCCCCAAACACCAUCAAUCCAUGAUUUUCUAGAGUAUUAGCCGUCAUUCCAUGAUUUUCUUGUUAUUUUUUCUUUCACUUUCUCUUCCAUUUUCCCACUCCCCAAACACCACCAAUCCCUGAUUUUUGGAGUAUUAGCUGUCUAUUUCUACAAACAUAGAAGUGCUGUUUGUUUGUCCAAUUACUUUCGAGAAACAAAACUCUCUGUCCUGUGGUCUUUUCGUUUAUUGACUUGUGAGUAAAUAAGAUAUUGGGCCAAUGGACUUAACGUGACAAGUUCUUGAAUUGAAUGGCUCCUCUUUUCUCCAUAAAUCUUUGCUUAAUUUUUUUGUUCCCUCAACUUUUUGGGCCUUUUGAGUUAAAAUUCUUUUUUUGAUACAUUAUGCAAAAAUUAUGAUGAAAAUGAGUUACUUUAGAAGAUCAACAAAUUUUUAUUACAUGACAAGACAAUUAUACUUAGAUUACUCUUAUUUAGUUGAAUUAUAGGUAAUAAAAUUAGUUUAACAAAAUCUAACCCGUAAAUAUUUCUUAUCACAUGAUUAACGUACUUAAAAAUCUUAACUGAUUGGUCGCUUGUUUUACAAUUCUUUUAUAUAUCUAUGAAACUUUCAGCUUCCUAACACAUCAUAUUGUUCUCAAUUCGUCUAAAUUAUUAUUUUUUUUUCGAACACUGCGGCAACAAUCAGUAUAAAAUAGAAUGAACUCAUUUAAUGAAAAAAUUUCUAGAUGCUUUCAUGGCAGAAUCUCAUUGAUCUAUUUCUCUUCACACCUUAGGUUCCUCUAACAAACUUACCUCUUAACUCUCAUGUCCGAAUUUAAACUUGAAAGAUGUUCCCCAUCCCACGUGUUCCCAAAUCUUCGUAUUUCCAAACAAACCCCUGCCACAUAGAGAAGAGGAUGAUUCCUACAAAGCCACGUAAUCAAGUGAUAGGAUGGCUUUUAUUGCAAACUGUAUGAUUCCUCUAACAAACCCAUUAAUUAUACUCACCUUAUGCCAUGUUUCUGGUGUGUCUUCACAAAUUCACCGAUACAAAUUAAUUUCUACCAAUAUUACCAAAUGAUUGUAUUUUACGUUUCUAUUUACUUGUAAUAAAGAUCUUCUGUGUGUGUGUGUGUGUGUGUGAUAUAAGUGUUGAUUUUAAAGUAAGGUAAACAUAGGAGCUUUCUUUCUUUUACUCUGUAUUUCAUGGUCAUUCAAUUUUAUUGGUUACAAAAUUCUCUAGGAUUGCAUGUAGAUUAUACUUUUAUAUACUUUUUUUUUUCUUCUUUCGCAUUAUUUUUCUGGGUGAACAUAUUAUUUUCGUCAUCAUCUCUAUAACAAUGAAGUGAAAAUAGUCCUCGUUUAUAGUAUUGACAGCAAUGUUAUACUCAAUAAAACGCAUAAAGCACGCAUGAUUUAGCCGAAUCUAAGCGAUAAGUGUUUCCAUGUGAGCCAUAAUUUGGGAAAAAGGCCAAUUCAAGUUAAAGAUCAGAAAAGUCUGUCCCGCACGAAUACAAUAAUUCGAGCCACGCAUUCAUCAAACGCGCGCAUUGCAAAUACACUUCAAUAUGUUGUCUCAUAGGGAGAAAUCCUUCACUCUUUGACGUAAUGCUUGGGCAACGUAAAUUAGUCCCAUUUUUUUAUGCAUGAGAGACAAUUAGUCCCAUUUUUUGCCGUCAACUCUUCUCAUCUACGUCAGGUAAUGUGUCUUUUAUUUGGCAUGAAAAAGCCAAUACUUGCACGAGUGUAGCAUCACUGAUUUGUGUAAUUUUCAGGACUGGUAAAUUAUCUCAAUUUUUAAAAAAAUAUAAUUACAAUUAUAUAUCGAACACCACUAAUUCCAAUAAUUUAUCCAAAAAUAUCUUUGAGUUUCAAGGAAUUAAUGUAGCACGAAUGGCCAAGUUUUUCACCUUUUUAGAUAUUUGAUAUAUGUCAUGUUCUAACUUAGUACGAGAAGAAAAUUAUAGAAUAAUUUUUUUUUUUAAAUUAGUGGAAUUAUUUUUCGAUAAAAUUAUCACAAUCACAUUUAAAAAUAUUCUUUGGAUUUUCACUAUUUCUACUGUUAUUCUUUAAACUCUUUUCUGAACAGAGCAUGGAGGGUCACUUAUCUAAAUAUGUUUUGUGUGCUUUCACUUCACUUGAUUCAUCUUGUCCCUCUUUUAUAGCUUCUAUCUCGUGUGAGCUUAGAACCUGCAACUCGUAUUUUACGUUUCUAUUACUUUCUCUUUCAUUUUCCCGACUCCCAAACACCAUCAGUCCUUGAUGUUAUAGAGUAUUAGCUGUCUAUUUGUACAAACAUAGAGCUACUGUUCGUACUUUAGAUCUUCAGAUGGUUAGCUAACUAUUGUUUGAAUAUUAAAAUUAAUUUGUUAAAUAAAUAAAGAAAACAAGAGACAAUUACCAUACAUAUUCCAUUAUAAUUAGUCACCGUCCAAUUGUCUCCGCUUCCAUUGAAUCUGUUGAUUCAUGCUUUAAUGAAGUGAAACGCUUAACACUCUGUUCUGAUCCGCAGGAGAGGAGGAAAAACAUAAUUUUAUUAUUUCAUUCCUGACACGGGCAAAGAGCUUUCUUAGCCGGCUUGGCAGCUAAUUCCUUAAAAUUUGUUACAUUUCAUUUAAAUGAUGAAUGCGACAUGAAGCUCUAUAAAUAGUUUAAUUUGUAGAAUUGUUAAAAAUUUAAAUUUCAAGUAAGGUAGAUAAAAUGAUUGAUGUUUUUCAAUAUUUAGUAAUGAACAUGUGUCAUGUUACUAUGAGUGAAUGAAUGAAAUUUUCUAUAGAAAAUACAAUGCUAGUAUUAAAAAUUUUAAGUGCGAAUCCAUUUAGUGUACGUUUUCCCGACUCCCAAACUCCACCAAUCCUUGAUUCUUUUCCUAGAGUAUUAGCUGUCUAUUAUUACAAACAUACAGUUUGUCCAAUUACCAUCAAGAAACAACAUACCUUGUCCUGGGGUCUCUUUGAUUAUUGACUUGUGUGACUUGUAAACGGGGGGGCAUUCCCUUCUUGAAGAAAGAAUGCAAAGAGCCCAAGAAAGUACUAAUAUAUUAUCUCAAUAUUUUGAUGAAUGUGACAUUACUGGUUUGCAUAAUUUUUUGGACUAAUAUAUUAUCUCAAUUUUAAAAAAAAUGUAAUUGCAAUUAUCAAACACGACUAAUCCCAACAAUUUAUCCAAAAAAUUUUGUUUCAAGAAAUGUAGCAUUUAUGAUAGAAUGGCUAAUUUUUUCAAUCGACUUUCUGGAUAAAUGAUAUUUUUUUGAUAGAAAUGUUUCUUACUUAUUACAGGAAGAAAAUUAUAGAAUAUUUUUUUGAAUUAAUAGUAUUACUUUACGAUAACACUAUCACAAUCUAAUUUUAAAAAAAAAAAGUUAUUCUUUAAAUUUCGCAUUACUAUUCCUACUUUUCUUGUUAUACUACUUUUCUUGUUAUAGUUCAAUAUCUGCUGUCCCACUAAGCAUUGUUAAAUUCAUACGAUAAAAUGAGUACUUAUAUUAAAAAAACAAUCAAUCUCAUUGCGUGCUCUUUCAUUGACAUAGGCAAUUUGCUGUCAACUUGUGGCACUUUUAUGAAUUUUCAAGACAAGUGAAUUUUUCAAAUUUAAAAGAAAAAAAUACAGAAAUGUAAUUUCAAUUUAUCCAAAAAUUUGAGUUUCAAGGAAUACAGCAUUUAUUAUGUCAUGUUAAUAUAGAGAAGAAAAUUUUAAAAACUUAUUUUUGGAUGAAUAAAAGUAUUUUCUGAUAAAUAUUUCACAAUCAAAUUUAAAAAAUUUCACUCCUCCUGGUACAUAAUUUAAGAAUUUAACAUUAUAAAUUAAUCUUUUUAAUCAAAGUAAUAAUCUCUCCUCGGUCUGCAAAUGCUAAAAUUUAAUAUUAUAUCCAUUGACGAUAUUUGCUCCAAAUUCACGAAAAUAAAAUUUCUAACAGAAUUAUGAAAUUCGUUACUAGAAAUUUGUAUAAAAGUUGUGAGAAUAGAAGGAAUGGUCAUAGGAAAUUAAUAUAUCCCUAUCCGAUGCAAAAAUGAUUGUAAAGAAAAACAAAAGUCACGGGCUUAUUUAGAAAAAAGAAAAAAUUACAUUCCAUUUUCCAGUUAUUAAAGUAAUUCUAAAAUCGCUAGGAUCACAAAGGAUAGGCUUUGGUUGACUGAGGUCAGCCUUAACGCAUGCCGGUCUUUUUCUCCUCUACAUUCUUAGAAAUUUUGGUUUCACUAUAAAUACUCGGUAUAUAGCAAACUUAUAAGUGUUCUUGCAUUACCCAUCCAACUAAGCACACUGUCACGGGACAAGAGGUUUCGAGCCCGUGCGGCACUCUCGCAUCCCAUACUACGAGAGUAAGCCUAGUGGAAGUGGCACAAUUUCGACUGGUUUUGCCCUGCCUUAGGCUCGUCAGGAGAACGGCUUCAGUUCCCAACCAGUGUGCGUCAGGAUUUUCCUAGACCCCUCUUCAGCGUUAAGUCCUCGACUAGCGACAAGCUCCCCAAACUCAACCGGGUCGGCCUGCCUGAACUCCAAAGAGUCUAGGGCGUUGUAUUCCCCACACACACAUUCCUGAAGCACGUCUCCAACAAUCAGCACAACUGUCAUCGACACUAGCGUACAAGCGCAUAUCUUGGGUGUCACGAUUGCGGUCCGUGACAUUCUCCCACCGCCAUAACCAUGCACGUCCUCGUGCAUGCAGAGUACGCCUCGCAAGUGUGCACUUCCGCGCGAAAACGUGAAGAUCGGCUUGCCAAUCUCAACCCAUGAACUCCCUGCCUACUCGUCCUUGAUCCGUGGAGAGGACCCGCGUGCAGACACUAUCCACUUAGUGCGAAUGCUUGGGGGUAUGAGAACCCGCCUGUUCGUCCCGCUUGUCGACCCUUGCGCUCAAAAGGGUGGGGACCUGCGUGGUGCGGCAUUGGAGCGCUUGGCGAGCUCGCGACGAGGGCUUCGAGAGAUGACAAGCGCGGCUCUGAUACCAUUUGUCACGGGACGAGAGGUUUCGAGCCCGUGCGGCACUCUCGCAUCCCAUACUACGAGAGUAAGCCUAGUGGAAGUGGCACAAUGUCGACUGGUUUCGCCCUGCCUUGGGCUCGUCAGGAGAACGGCUUCAGUUCCCAACCAGUGUGCGUCAGGAUUUUCCUAGACCCCUCUUCAGCGUUAAGUCCUCGACUAGCGACAAGCUCCCCAAACUCAACCGGGUCGCCCUGCCUGAACUCCAAAGAGUCUAGGGCGUUGUAUUCCCCACACACACAUUCUUGAAGCACGUCUCCAACAAUCAGCACAACCGUCAUCGACACUAGCGUACAAGCGCAUAUCUUGGGUGCCACGAUUGCGGUCCGUGACAACACGCUUACAAUAUAAAUACUCUCAUCUCAUGGAAAGAGUUCAUUCUCUCAGGAUGAUGAGCAGAUUUCUCUUACUCUAUUGUUUGAUUCUUAUUUCCUUAUUUAUCGCGGUAGCAACAGCCAACACAAGUUCUACUAUCACAGACCAAUAUGCUCUGUUAGCCCUGAAAGCUCACAUAACUCAUGAUCCGACCAAUUUCUUGGCCAAGAACUGGAACACAAGUACUCCUGUCUGUAUUUGGACAUGCGUCACUUGUGAUGUCCAUAGCCAUAGAGUCACAAUCUUGAAUAUUUCUGGCUUAAAUCUCACGGGUACCAUCCCUCCUCAACUUGGGAAUCUUUCUUCUCUGCAAUCACUCAAUCUCAGUUGUAACCGACUUUCUGGUUCCAUUCCCUCCGCCAUCUUCACCAUAUAUACACUGAAAUAUGUUGGUUUCCGUAGAAAUCAGCUCUCGGGGCAAAUUCCUGAAAAUAUUUGUAGUAAUCUUCCUUUUCUUGAAAUUCUUUCUUUGUCCCGAAACAUGUUCCAUGGCGGAAUACCGUCCACUCUAUCAAAUUGCACAUAUUUGCAAACAUUAGGUUUGGUAUACAAUAAUUUCUCGGGGACCAUACCUAUAGAAAUCGGCAAUUUGACCAAACUUAAGGAAUUAUAUCUUGGCGGUAACAGGCUCCAAGGUGCGCAUGAUCACGAAGUUUCAUUAUGAAAUUUGUUGCAUAAGUUGUAAUAUGUAUAAUGUUCCAUGAUACAGUUUACACACGUUGAUUAAUUUGCAGGAGAAAUUCCGCGAGAGUUUGGCAAUCUUGCCGACUUGGAGCAGAUGUCGUUGGCGAUAAACAAUCUCCAAGGCAUGAUUUUAAACUUUUUGCAAUUUUAUUUUAGCUAUGCUUGCUUCUGUAUUCAUUCGCUUGUUCUUUGAUUAUGCGAUGAUUUAUUGUUUUUCUUUCAGAUAGAGAUAAAGCUCCAUGUCUCCCCUCACUCAUUUCAUUCCUUAAUUUAUGCAGAUAAAAAAAAAAAAAAAGAAUGUUCUGUAAUUUUCUUUUGUCAUAUUACCACUUCCAUUUUGAAGCUUCCAAUUAAGUCGAUGAAAAUGAAUGAUGUUUCAUUCUUAUUCUUGUCAGCCUAAUUCUUAUAUAAAUGAAGAGUAAAUUGUGAUUACGAUAUUCGUCAGCCAAUAAAUUCUUCUUUUUUUCCCCCCCCAAACAUGAGUGAUCAAAUUGUUUGCGCAUAUAUAAAUGUACUUAAUUUACAGGAGGUAUUCCACGGGAAUUGGGGAAUCUUACAAAAUUGGAGAUAUUACAGGUGUUCCAGAAUAACUUGACCGGUAACUUUCUUUACAAUAUAUAUACGAGACAUCUUCCGCUUUUUAUUAGAAAUUAUAAAUUCAAGUUAAAUCUUAAUUAAAAGUUUUCAAGUCUCUCAUUAUAUAUUCUCAUAUGAGGAUGUGUCGUUACCACUAUCUAACAUUAUUCCGUUUUUUAUUAGAAAUUAGUUUGUGUUAAUUCAAAAUUCUGUAGCAUUUAAAAAAAUUAAAAACACGUGGAAUAAAUUGUUAAUCUUUCUUCUUUACUGAAUUUGGAUUUCUCAAAAAUAAUCUUGACAAGUAUGCUUCACUAAUGAUAUGCAUGUGUGACAACUUCAUAAAAUAUUUUACAUGGAAUCACUAAUUAUCUCUAAAGAUGCCAUCAGUGAUAUAUAAUUUCUUAACAAGCACCAUACCAAAAGAAAUCAACAAUUUUAUUAAUCUUAAAGAGUUAAAUCUUCACUGCAAUUAUGACAUAAAUUUUUAGUCAUCAAUCGCAUAGUAUUUUAUCUUAACUGAUGAUGAUGUUCAGUCUUGGAAUUUAUAAUAUCUUGAAGGUUAGUAGCUUUGAAAAUAAGAAAUUGUUCAUUUGCUAAAAAGUUAACUUAGUAUUUAAGUUUUCCAAUUGAAAAUUUUGAAAAAAGCGUUGAGAACUGGCACUCCAUAGUAUUUCAGCGGAUAAAUAUGAAAAAUAGGCUAGAAGAAAUUAUUUUACUUUAAUAAGAGUUAAAAAGAUAGGACAAGUACAGUACUCAUGACUUAGGCUUGCUGUGUGUGCUUAUUCCAAUUGGGUUUUGGGCUUGAUUACACCUGUUAUAAUAAUGAGCUUUUGCUUUCACCGCACACUAAUAAUUUCCUAACCUUCCAUUUAGGUUAUAGAAAUUUAAAUAUAAAUAAUAAAGCAUACUAAAGCUAGCAUUGAUGUACGGAUGAGUGGCGUCAAAAGUGUAUCUGUUUUUAUGUAUUAUUUAUUCUCUAAAACAAAUCUGAAUACAAUUCUUUCAAAAUACCGAUGAAAUAGAACAUGAAAUCGGAAAUAUUUUAUUGCGAUGAGAAUUCGUAUAUUAAUUGUAGUAGAACAUAUAAAAUAGAGUAUAAAUUUAUUAUUCUUUGAAGCAAACCUGAUUAUAAUUCCUUCAAAAUUAAGUUUGUCAUUAAAUGAUUUCUCAGGAGCCAUACCAAAAGAAAUCCGGAAUUUGACCAAACUAAAGCAAUUAUCUCUCUACAGUAACAGGCUCCAAGGUGCGCAUGAUCACAGAGUUUAAUUAUGAAAAUUGUUGCAUAAAUUAUAUGGAUAUCCUUAAUAACCGCAGCAAGCAAACAAAAUCAAAUAAAAGCUAACUGAGACUCGAAUAUCCUAAACCCUGAAAAGGAAUGGUAAUGGUAUAAUAUGGAUUCUGUAGGCAUAUUUCACUGGACUCAACAUUUAUGGUUAAUUUACAACUCUUUGUUGGAAAGUCUGAGAAAUUGCUCUAUAUUAGGGGUGGGGAAAAUAAUGCUAGGCCACGAAUUUCAGGCAGAAUCCAGAUUGGGCCCAAUUAGACUUAUAGCUCAGCUCUGUGUCGAUAUCUGGGCCUUUACAAAUAAUUAAUGGGCCAAUUAAUAAUAAUAGAUAAAUUGAGAAGGGUGCGAGUGAAAUUAGAUAUGAAUGAAUCUGCCAGUGUAUGUACACAUUUUUCUAAUUAAUGCAUUAUGAGCCUGCCGCUGCCAGCAUGGAAAUUACAGAAACUAAGGAGAGAAUUGACCCAUUAAUUAAAUUAAAAAGAAUACUGAAUAUAUAAGCAGUCAAAAUAUAGGUGAAGUAGGCAUGAAUUGUCACAUAACUAAAUUUGAGAGUAAAACCGUGACUUGGGUUUGAAUGUUUGAUUAAGUUACUUCUAUUUCUAAGUUGCUUAUUUUGCGUGGGCUUCGGGCUUAGUUACACACGGUCGAACACUUACACAGUUCCCCUGACAUAGGCUUUCACUUUCACCACACAUUUGAUAAUUUCUUAGCCUUCCCAAUUAGUUUAUAGUAAUUUAUAUAUAAAUGACUAAAGCAUACAAAAGCUACCAUUGACGUACGGAUGAGUGGUGUCAAAAGUGUAUCUUCUUUUAUUUAUUAUUGUCCUAUGAUACAAAUCUGAAUAAUGGAAUAUAAUGCUUUGAAAAUACCGAUGAAAUAGCACAUGAAAUCGGAAAAUAUUUUACUGCAAUAAGAAUUCAUAUAUUCAUUGUAGUAGCACAUAUAGAAUAGACUAUAAAUUUAAUUUUAAAAUACAUUCUUAUCUUCAUAUAAAUUUUACAUUACUAAUUUAAAUUAACAUUAAAAUAUGUUGUUUCUUUCACUAUGUUAUUUUAUUUACACAAAGAUGUGACUAUUGGAAUUAAUAAUACUUAUGAUUAUUUUGUAAAAAUUAAAUUUAAUACUUUGUUAACAUUUUAUCUACAUAUAAUAAUUAAACUGAAACUUGUAUUUAAAAAAUUCUAGUUACGCAUAUUCAUUUCACGACAUAAAAGUGUAUAUUUAUGCUAAUUUACCAUUAUCAACAAAAUGCUUUAGACAAAUAAUCUAAUUUAUAUUUUUAUAUUUAAAAUACUUGCAUUUAUUAUAUUUUGAAAAAAAUGUAUUUGCAAUUAUUUUAAACCGUUGGAUUCAAAUUUUCGUAGUUAUUAAAGUCAAAGGGUAUAAAUGUAUAAUAGUCAAAAAUAGAUUUGUAUGAUUAUUUUCAAUGUAUAAAUUUUCUUAGUUAGUAGGAAAAUUAGAAAUUGUUGAUUUACUCAUAAAUAAAUUUAAUGUUUAGCAUUUCAAUUUUGGAAAACUUGAACUAAAUGUUGAUAACUUCGAAUCGGUCGAGCCGAGUUUCUCUUCCUUGACCCACGGACCCAUUGAAAGUUCUAUUCGAAUUGAAUUUCCCGGUGCUUAUAAAAAGCAUUUCUUUUCCUUGUCGCAUUAAUUUAUUCACAAAUGAGUUGAUUAGCAUCGAAGUUACCUGAGAGUGUGAGACCAUGCUAGUAGGAGAAAUUUGAAAAGAAAUUAUUUUACUGAAUUAAUUUAUUUUAUCUUGUUGUAACUGAAAUAUUAUUUUUUUUUUGGGCUAUCACUGGGGCUUGAUUUACUUUAAUAGUAGCAGCCACCGACUUAGGCGUUUUUUAAUUCUCACCACACAAUUUUAUCUUUUAAUUCGUUUUAACCACAUAAUCUGUCUAUCUAUCUCUCACCUAUUGGUUACUUAAAUCGCAUACAUAUUUUACCUACUAAUUUUUAUAAAUAUUAGUCAAAUAUAUUUUAUUACGUUUCUCUCGUAAUUGCUCCAAAUGUGUACUAUUAAUACUUAACCCUCCCUUUUAAUUUAACCCAAAAAAUAUAAAAAUAAAAGAAAAAGAACAUGCAUAGCAAUUUGCAUAUAACUAACAAAGAAUUGACAGUUUGUAGCCUUUCAAUACUUCACGAGUGGCUUUUCUUGUGUGUUAGUACUUGUAAUAAUUGUGUAGUGUAUAAAUGACAUUUUAUUAUUAAAGUGCGUACAUUUUUAGAUAUUACUUAUUAUUUAAAAAUAAUCUGAAUAUAAUUCUUUUAAAAUACAGGGGAGAUACCACUUGAAAUUGGUAAUCUCCAAAAUCUGGAGGAGUUGAGUCUUGGCCUAAACAAAUUAAUUGGUACUAUCCCAGUUGCAAUCUUUAAUGUGUCAACACUCAAAAUGCUUGAGCUUCAAGAUAAUUCUCUCUCGGGAAGUCUUUCGUCCAUCGCAGACGUCCGACUACCAAAUCUUGAAAAGCUUCAUUUGUGGGGUAAUAAUUUUAGUGGCACAAUUCCUCGUUUCAUCUUUAAUGCUUCUAAGCUCUCUAUACUAGCUUUGGGAGACAAUUCAUUCUCCGGUUUUAUUCCCAACACAUUUGGCAACUUAAGAAACCUUGAGUGGCUUAAUGUACAUGAUAAUUAUUUGACAACUUUAACUCCAGAAUUGAGCUUUCUAUCCUCGUUGUCAAAUUGCAAGUCUUUAACAUUUAUUGGCUAAUCAAAUAAUCCACUAGAUGGCAUUCUUCCAAGGACGUCUGUCGGUAAUCUUUCUCGUUCUUUGAAAGAAGUUUACAUGUCCAAUUGUAAUGUUAGUGGCGGCAUCCCUAAAGAGAUCACCAACUUGACCAACUUGACAACCAUUUAUUUAGGGGGCAAUAAAUUGAAUGGAUCAAUUCCGAUUACUCUCAGCAAAUUACAGAAGCUUCAAGGUUUGGGUCUUGAAUAUAAUAAAUUAGAAGGAUCAAUCCCAGACAGUAUUUAUCGUUUGACUGAACUGUAUGAGUUGGAGUUGGGUGGCAAUAAGCUUUCAGGAUCAAUCCCUGCAUGCUUCGGUAAUUUGAUUGCUCUGAGGAAACUGUCGUUGGGUUCCAAUGAGUUAACUUCUAUUCCCUUAACUUUUUGGAACCUUAAGGAUAUCUUGUACCUCAACUUUUCUUCAAAUUGUUUUACUGGCCCACUCCCAUUAGAGAUUGGAAAUUUGAAGGUUUUGGUUGGAAUGGAUUUUUCGAUGAAUAAUUUUUCAGGUGUUAUCCCAACAGAAAUUGGAGGCCUAAAAAAUCUAGAAUAUCUCUUCUUAGGAUAUAACAGAUUGUAAGGAUCAAUUCUUGAUUCAUUUGGUGACUUGAUAAGUUUGAAAUCCUUGAAUUUGUCUAAUAAUAAUCUCUUUGGGGCUAUUCCUGCAUCUCUAGAAAAACUCUCAUAUCUUGAAGAUCUAAACCUUUCUUUCAAACAAGCUGGAAGGAGAAAUUCCUAUGGGAGGAUCUUUUGGAAACUUCUCAGCUAAAUCAUUUGAGGGAAAUGAAUUAUUAUGUGGUUCACCCAAUUUACAAGUCCCGCAAUGCAAAACUAGCAUCCACUGCACAUCAUGGAAAAAAUUUCUUCUCCUCGGGAUUGUGCUGCCAUUGAGUACUAUAUUUAUGAUAGUAGUCAUUUUGUUGAUUCUAAGAUAUCGACAGAGAGGAAAACGACCAUCGAAUGAUGCUAGCAUGCCACUAGUAGCAAUGUGGAGAACGUUUUCAUACCUAGAACUCUAUCGAGCAACAGACGAAUUCAGUGAAAACAAUCUAAUCGGCAAAGGGGGUUUUGGCUCUGUUUAUAAGGCAAGACUUGGGGACAGGAUGGAGGUUGCAGUGAAAGUUUUCAAUUUGCAAUGUGGAAGAGCGUUUAAGAGUUUCGAUGUUGAAUGUGAAAUGAUGACAAGUAUUCGCCAUCGAAACCUUAUCAAAGUUAUUAGCAGUUGUUCAAAUGAAGAGUUUAAAGCGUUGGUAUUAGAAUACAUGCCUCAUGGAAGUUUGGAGAAGUAUAUGUAUUCAAGUAACUGCAUUUUGGAUAUUUUUCAAAGAUUGAACAUAAUGAUAGAUGUUGCAUCAGCUUUGGAAUAUCUGCACUUUGGUUAUUCAGCUCCAAUAAUUCAUUGUGACUUAAAGCCCAACAAUGUAUUAUUAGACGAUAAUAUGGUUGCUCAUUUGAGUGAUUUUAGCAUCGCAAAAUUGUUAGCUGGAGAAGAUCAAUCUAUGACUCAAACACAAACAUUUGCCACAAUAGGCUAUAUGGCACCAGGUUUGUCAAUACAAAAAUUUUCUAUUUCUUGUAAACUUCCUAGUAAGUUAUUUAUGUUUCAUGAUCUUCAUUAGAUGAGGAAAUUCUUAUUAAUGAUAUAUCUUACUAUUUAACUAUUGCAAUUCAUAGAGUAUGGAAGAGAAGGACGCGUAUCCGCAAAUGGAGAUGUUUAUAGCUUUGGGAUUAUGUUAAUGGAAACUUUUACUAGGAAGAAACCCACAGAUGAAAUUUUUAACGGAGAAAUGUCAUUAAAGCAUUGGGUUAAUGAUUGGCUACCUAUUUCCACUAUGGAAGUUGUUGAUGCUAAUUUACUAAGUCAGGAGGACAUACAUUUUGUCGCAAAAGAGCAAUGUGCGUCAUUUGUCUUCAAUUUGGCUAUGGCGUGCACUGUGGAAUCUCCUGAGCAGAGAAUCAACGCAAAAGAAAUUGUAAAAAAGCUCUUAAAAAUUAGAGACUCAUUACUUAGAAAUGUUGGAGGUAGAUGUAUAAGACAAUCAAAUUUAAAUUGAUUCUGCCCCUCCUUCCUUGCUAUCCUUUUCAGAGACUUGAACGGUUAUCCUUCAUACAAGUUUUGUUGAUAUGUUUUGUUAUUGCUCUUGCUCAUGUUUAUUUCUCUCUUUCUUUAAUUUGCAUGCAUGUAUUUUUCGUGCUCUUUUCUAUUUUUGUUGGUUUGUAUGUAGUUUGUUUUUAGGGGUAAGGUUGAUUAUGUCCUCCCCUAAUUAGACGUAUCAUGUUUAUUUUUAUUCAAUAAAGCUUCUCUAAUACUAUUGAGGUUCAUCAAAAGAAAAUUUUAAAUUAAUUUUCUUUUCUAUGUUAGAUAAUGAAAUUCUAAUCUUCAUAAUGAAUAACUUCAAUAAUAGAGUGUAAGAGUAUUAGUAGUUAUGGUUGUUUUCUGAACCUGGAGUCAAGAGCAAUUUAACAGCAACAAACAAGUCUCUUGUAUUAUAGGCAAAAUUCUUUUCAUUAAUCUUAUUUGUCUACAUGUUCUCCUAUUUCUCCAUUUAUCUUCGCUCAAGGUUUCAUGCUUCCUCUUUGAUAAAGGAAAAUGUUACUCGUGAAUAUUUCAAAUUUUCAAUUUGACAUGAGCGACUGUUUGCCAGCCAUUUGAUAAAAUGGAUAUGAGUUGAGUUUUCAAUCAUUACCUCCACCAAAAUCCUUAGUCCUUACAACGCCACUUUUUAAUUUUAUUUUUAAAUACAUUCAGUUUAAUUUAAAAAAUAAAUCCAUUUGCUAAAUUUAAUCUUUUUCUCAUAAAUUUCACCCUAAAAAAUAUAUUUCUUUUAAAUUUUUAUUAUAAAAUACUUACAAGUUCUAAACUAUUAAAUUAUUUUCUUCUUAUUAUAUAGUUUAUAUCUCCAUAACUCUAAACCCCUAUAAUUUUUUAAAAAAUAUUUUUUAAUUUAAAAUAUAAAUAUAAAAUAUAGAAUGGAGUGAGUAUAAAAAACUUGUUAAAAGAAUAAUUCAUUUAAGUAUUUAACUGAAUUUUAAAUUAAAAUAAGAAAUAAAUAAAUUUAUUUUUUAUUAGUUAAGUAAUUUUCAAUUAAAAAAGAGCUUUAUGAGUAAUAUUAUUGAAAUAUGAUUAAAAUUCUUAUGAAUUAAACAUUUUCGUAUAAAUACUAGUGAUAAUUAUAGAGAAAGUACGAUGAAGUGAAAAAAAAAAACUUAAAUAUAAAUACUCUAGUAUAAUUUUACACAUGCAACUUAUGAACCGGUGAUCUUUAGAGCAUUAUAAAAUUGUUUUAACACAAUUAAUUGGUUUGAAAAAUUACCAAUAAUGUCGACAGUGGGAUUUAAAAGAUUAAACUACAUAUAUAAGACAUAAUAUCAUUUAAAACGGCUUACAGAUUAUGAGAAAUAUUUUGAUCUUCUAAAUAUUUAAUAUAUCAAUUGGACUAAGUCUAUGCAAUAAAAAUUUUAAAUAAAAAAAAACCCUUUAUUUUCUUUUAAUCAUAAGUGUGAUCUUAAUUAUUAAAGUCAUUUAUUGUCCAUUACUUAUUCAUUUUUUUAAUUACCUAAAUGACAUUGAAAACUCUACUCAAUAUUAAUUCAUUCAAAUGUUUUGUUUUAAGGUAAUCAGAAACUGCAAAUGAAACAAAUGCUUGAAAUCACAAACGGCCUAAAAUUUUAUUUUCAUUUUUCAAUGUUGCGGUGACUUGGAUCUUGAUAUUGAAAAUUUAUUUGUAACUUAUAUAAAGGCCUCAAUUUUAUCAUAAUUGGUUAGUAAGGCUACGUAGGGAGCAUGGACAAAUUUUGGGAUUGGAUUAUAUUUUUGGAACUAAAAAAUUAAUUUCAUCCAAUGAUAUGUUUGGCUGUUAGGACUAGCAACUUAGUCUAAAAUUAUUGAAAUUAUUAAUCUUUUAUAUUAUAAGCUUUUCGUUCCCACUUUAAAUAUUAUUGGUAACUUAAAUCAUUUUUUAAAAUUAAAUAUAAAAAUUAAUUUAAUUCAAUAUAAAAAUCAUUUAAAUUAAAUACAAAAAUAUUUAAAUUAAAUAUUAACAUUAAUUUCAUAAUUUUUUACCUAGAAUUUUAUAUUAUAUUAAAUACUAAAAUUCUAUUCGAUAAUGUAUUAUCAUUUAUUUAAUAAAUGUUUAGUAUGUUAUAUUAUUAUUUAAAUUAAUUUUUUAUUUACAUAUAAACAUAAAGUAAUAUUUACUAAUUUAAAGUUAUUAUAAUUUGUUAAAUAAUAAAAGCUAAAUGAUUAUAUUGAAAAUAUAAAUAGUAUUCUAAUGUAUUAUAGUCUAAAUCUUACCCCUAUGAGUUUAUUUUAUACACCUUUUAUUGUAUUAACCACAUUUAUAAUGCAGUGCAAUGUAAUAAAAAAUUAUAACCAAAUAUGAGUUAGCAUGAAAAUAAUAUUUUAGUGCAAUAUAAUACAAUGUAAUGUAAGCUAACAAAUGGAUAUUUAAUGGAAGCAAAAAUUGCAUAUGGCUUGUGCGUCUCUUCAAAGACAACAAAAAAACCAAUAUGAUACACGAUUUUUGUCCUCUUUAAUGGUGUCUUUACUAAAUGGGAAUCAGAAUAAGUUAGAAUUAGAAUGAGCUUGAAUCGAAAUAAGGAAUUAGAAUCAAAAUAAGUUGUUUAUUUAAGUUGUAUGAAUCAGAAUCAAAAUAAAUUUUAUUCAAAUUGAUGUGUUUAUUUUCUCUUGAAAUUAGAAUGGACUAUUACAAGUUACUAAAAAAUCAUUUGGUAAUUGUUGUCUCUAGUAUUAUUUGUAUUUGUUAUAAUGGUAACAAUAAUAAGAAUAAAAAUAAUACUAAAAAUGAAAAUAAUAAUAAUAGUAGAGACAAUAAUAAUAAAAUUAAUAAAUUAUUAUUAUUAUUAUUAUUAUUACUACUACUACUAUUACUACUUCUGAAGACCACUCGGUGAAGAUUGAAUAGUGAAAAUGAAGAUGAUGAAGAUCUCGACGAACCAACUGCUGUUCCAAAGAUGAUGUGUCCAAAUGGAGACAACCAAUGAUGACUAGCCAACUAGAUCCCAAUCUCGAUGUUGUGAUCUCGUAUGACCACAGAUAAAGCUAUGUGUGAUGUUGGUGUUAUGAUUUAUUUUUUAUUUAUAUUUUUUAAUUUAUCAGUAUUUUCAAAUUUUUGUAAUUUUAAUAUGGGCAAAUUAGAUAGUCCAGUGAAUAGGAGACUGAUUCCUAACCAUCCUAAGAAUUAGUCUCUCAUUUUUUAUUUCUAAUUUGAUGUGGGUCCUGCUAUUUCGAUUCCAAUUCUUACAUUUAUUUGUGAGAUAAAAUUAUGGUGCAACUGUAGUACCAUUGGAUCCAGGCAUAGUUAUCACCAUGACUGAAUCUAAUUGUUGAAAGUAAUUGUGGUAUGAUACCACAGUUGCACCAUAGCUGGACCUUUAUUUGUGAAGUAAAAUGAUGUUAAUAAUUUCGAUUUCCAAUUCGAAAAGUAAAUACAUCAUAAUAUUUUUUUAGAUGCUUCCAUGGCAUAAUCUCAUUGGUCCAUUUUUCUCCACGCCUUAGAUUCAACUUCAAGAUUCAAGAUUCAAGAUUCAAUUUGAAGCAAACACAACUAAGUGCCUGUUUGGUAUGGCUUAUUUAAGAGUCAUAAGUGCUUAUUUAAUCGCAUAAGCACUUUUUAAAAAAUUUUAUGGUGUUUGGUUAUUUUUUUAGUAGAGUUUUUUUAGCUUAAAUAAGCUAAUUUACCUCUACUAGUAAAAGCCCAAAAUUUGAGCUUUUGGGAGUAGAGGUUAGAGAGCUUAUCUAAAAAAUAUAUAAUAAAAAAAAUAUCAUACAGUUUAAUGAUUCAAAAGUGUUUUUUUUAUUGACAACCAAACACCCAAUGACUUUUUGUCCAAAAACUCUAUUGGUAUAAACUCUACUGCUAUAAGCUCUAUUGUUAUAAGCUCUAUUUAAUAAGCUGUACCAAACGGAGCCUAAAAAACAAAUAUAAUAAGCGUUAAUAAGCCUGUGGCUGACUGGCUGUGGCCAAGCAAAUGUAACUCAUAGUGACCGAAUCAUAUCUUAUUAUCUUACGCCAGAAGCUAAACAAUGUUCCCAUUCCACGUGUCACUCUCUGACCAAUCCCUGAACUUUCUUCAUAUUUCCAAAGAAACCCUCACCAAGUCAAGAUAAUUACCUUCACUCUACUCAUAUAAAAACUGUCCUCGAUUCGACUGAUGUCUGAUGACGAUAUAUCCUUAGUCUUUAUUUAAAAGGGGAAAUUAUAAAAAAUUCUCCUCGUUCCCUAAAAAUCUAGGGUUUCUCAAGAAUCGCUAAACCUAGAUCCCAAUCCUUCAAAAUCUCAAUUUAACCUCUCUAGGGUUUCAAUUGUCAAGGAUUCGCUUCAAAAUUUAGUAUUUUUUUAGGGGAUUUUGCUUGUCUCGUAUCCUUCAAUUGUUGUUCGGUUCUGAAAAUAAUUUGGAAUUUUAGGGAUUUUCAGAUUAUUUGGUUUUGCUUGAGUGCAUUUUCCUCUAGUUACGGUUUCAGUUUGAAGGGUUAAGUGCGAUUUCGAAUAUUGUUAUAAAAUUUAAAUUAAAAUUCAUAAAACGAUUGGGCGUUUAAUAAUUAAUUGAUGGCUAGCGAUACUACAACGGCGGCCGCAGCUGCGGAAGAAGCAGAGGCGGUGGAGGAGUAUGAUAGCGAUCCAGAUGAAGUGAAACGCUCUCUUGCGAUGCGCAGAAGGGAAGCCAGCGAUGAGGAGGUUGAGGAGGAUAAAGAUUCAGAGCUUCCAAUAGUUCAAAGUGUCCACAUUCCUGCAGGAGAAGCCGAGGCUGUGGAUGAGUAUGAGAGCGAUCCAGAUGAAGUGAAACACUCUCUCGUGAUGCGGAGAAGGGAAACAAGCGAUGAUGAGGAGGAGGAUAAAGAAUUUGAGCAUCGAACAAAUCGUAGGGUCCACAUUCACUCUUACAUUGAAUCUGCUGGCCAAGGUGGUGCUCCAGCUGAGUAUGAUGAUGAUGAUGAUGAAGAAGAGGAACAUGACAGAGAAUUGGAGGAAGAAGAAGAAGAUGAAGAAGGGGAUGUUUAUGAGGCCGUAGAGGAAGAAGAAGUUUAUGAAGAAGAGGAGAGGAAUGAUGGGGCGGUUAAAGUCAAAGGAAUAGAGGGUAAUGAUGCAUGAGGAGUACGGAGGGUGCAGUGGAAGUGAGUAAAGGGAAUAAUGAUAAUGGCAAUGGUGCUAAAAGAAUGAUGCAGCAGAGGAGGGAAUGGAGGAAGAGAAGAAGGAGAGUAAUGAGCCUUUUGCACAGCAACUGGGGCUUUUUAUAUGGGACAAUGUUGCAGGUCGACACAGGUAUUAUUUGAUUUGAGUGACAAUUUAUAAAUAGCUAAUAGCUGUACUUUCAUUAGGGCUUGUCAAUUAAUCCAGUCUUGUUUUUUGGUGCUGUAUAAUGAUUGUUUGCUGGAAUCUGUGUAGAAGGCUUUUGGCCUAGUAGGUUGAAAGGAGGGAAAGUUCUCAAAUAAACAUCUGUGCUUUGCGGAAUAUAAUUAAUAGGUACAAAGCAUACUAAAUUACUUGACUGAUAGAUGCCGAGCUAAUCAUGAGCUAUGAUAGCAUUAUCCGUGCUUUGUGUAUUUUUAACAGGGCUUGUCUAUUUCAAAGUGUGUAGUGUAGAAUUUUUGGGUUUAGUUUGAGUGAUGAAGUGUUAGAUAGGUUUCUGUUUGGCAUAGUUAAGUGGUUAAUACGAGCUAUUGAAGCAAAUAUGGAGUAGGAUAUCUAGUUUUGGGUUUGGUCUUAGUUUGAAGAUGGCUACUGAUUAUGCAGCUAGGUACGUAUUAGUGUUUGUGGAUUGCUAAAUGCUUUCUGUCAAAUGUGACUAGAUUAUUACUUGAAGUGCAUGGAUCUUACACUUAAUUAAUUAUAUAUCCAUUUGUAAUGUUCAAAAUGAUCAUGUACUAUUGCUUAAAAUUAUGUUUUCAAGACAUCAUUUUGAAUCCAUGGUUGUAAUGUGUCUCUAAAUUCAGUAAUACAAGUUCUGUCAAUUGCUGUCGGAUGCAGUGACUUGAAUAGUUUAAUAUUCAUUUGCAGAAAAAAUUUGAGAAAGAAAACUAAAAAUUUCUGUGCGUUCUGCUGGAAAUUUAAUUAGCUUCAUUUGAGCAUUAAUUGCUGGCAUUAUCUCUUAGAUUUCUCUUGCAUUGAAUGAAUGGAUGAGUGCUAAUCCAUGCAAAGACUUCCAUGCAUACACAAUGAAUGCUUCAUCAAAGGUAUGGUAAAAUGUCAACACGCUUUGCCCAAAUUAUCAAGCUGGUGUGGUGGCUGCUAGAUUUGUUCAUCCGGAUUUUGGACCAUUUUCAUUGACAAUGAGAAAAGCUGCAAGAUCUGUAAAUCGGAAACUCAUUAAAGUGCCAAAAGAGAGAUGGAAUUGAAUAACUAGAGAGUUAGUGAAAAGAGGGUGCAGUGAUUGUGUGGGAAGCUUUGGGUAUACUUGGGGUUUGGAUGUGAGAUAAAAUAAUUUGAGAGAGAGGUUGUAUCAAUUUUUUGGUAAUAGAGUUUUUCAGGUAACUCUUGUGUUGUGUGAUUGGAGUAUUCUCUAUUGUAUUUUUUUAUUUGUUAUUUAUUUGACGUAUUGCUAGCGGAGAUCUUUGUCAAUUGUUUUAAACUCUAUUUCGAACAGAGCAUGAAGGGAUUCACUUAUCUGAUUAUGUCUUUUAUGCUUUAACUUCACUUGAUUUCAUCUUGUUUGUCACUUUUAAUAAAGUUGUAUAUGUUGGAGUAUUAGGUUCAUCACAGGGAUCAUAUUACGGCUAAGGAAGGGGCACAGUUUAUCAGCUGCACUCAAGUGUAGCAGAGUAUUUGGAUUCAAGACUGUUCGAAGGUUGUUACAAUGCAAGGCUGUUGCUGUGUAACUGUAUGCCAUUCUCGCAAGUGCACUCUUAACAGAUUGCUGAGCUGGCACCGGAUGUUUUUAGCUAAUAUUAGUUAUUGGUCUAGAGUGUUCUGAUUUAUUCUAUAAGUAGCUCAUUUGAGCUUAGAACCUUUAUAGUGUAUCAUACGU
rnacentral:lncRNA from 1 species